AUUGAACGCUGGCGGCAGGCCUAACACAUGCAAGUCGAGCGAGCGGCGGACGGGUGAGUAAUGUCUGGGAAACUGCCUGAUGUAGGGGGGUAACUUCUGGAAACGGUAGCUAAUACCGCAUACCAUCAGAUUUUCCCAGAUGGGAUUAGCUAGUAGGUGGGGUAAUGGCUCACCUGGGCAACGAUCCCUAGCUGGUUUGAGAGGAUGACCAGCCAAACUGGAACUGAGACACGGUCCAGACUCCUACGGGAGGCAGAAGUGGGGAAUAUUGCACAAUGGGCGCAAGCCUGAUGCAGCCAUGCCGCGUGUGUGAAGAAGGCCUUCGGGUUGUAAAGCACUUGCAGCGGGGAGGCGUUACCCGCAGAAGAAGCACCGGCUAACUCCGUGCCAGCAGCCGCGGUAAUUC
rnacentral:rRNA from 1 species